GCGUUCGUAGCUCAGCUGGAUAGAGCGUCUCCCUCCGGAGGAGAAGGCCGGAGGUUCGAAUCCUCUCGAGCGCGCCA
rnacentral:tRNA from 1 species